GAGAAUGUGGCUCAGUGGCAGAGUGCUUGCCUUGCAUGCAUGAGGCCCUGGGUUCAAUUCCUCAGUACCA
rnacentral:tRNA from 1 species